CACUCCAUCAUCACAACCAAUAACCCUAAUCCCUAAUAUUGAGGGUGGGGGUUUUCACCUUUCUUAGAUCUCACGAACAACCAACGCCGUCCAUGAAACGCCGCCGCCGUCCAUCGUCCACCAUUCAACCAUGAACCACCACCGAUCAAAAUUAGUGAAGUAGAAGAUGGGAUAUGCAUGAAGUAAUGUCAGAGAAAGAUGAUGGAAUGAAUGGAGAAAGUGAGAAAGAAUUGAGAAGGAGAGAAAGAAACAUGAGGAAGAAAGAAAGAAGGAACAAGCCCCAGAAAUUGUGGUUCGAGAGAAAAUUCACAAAAGAGCCUCAGUGCUAUAGAAAGAAUAAAAAACCGUCUGAGGAAGAAAGGAAAAGUUCAAAUGAUGUAAUGGACUUUUAUGGAUGAUGUUGUGAAUGGUCUAAAUGACCAUAUCAAGUGGCUGCUGUUAGACAUUAAACUGAAGCAGAAAAAUUGAGAAGGGAUGAGAAUGAAAUUGUAUUCACGCAAAUAAUCUGGGUGGCUGCUGUUAGACAUUAAACUGAAGCAGAAAAAUUGAGAAGGGAUUCGAACCCACUCCAUCUAACUAUAAGCAUGUAUUGCUCUCCACCAAACUACUCAUGUUUUUUGUUAAAUGUUUGCAGAACACAAGUAUAUAAUGAAUAAUUUAAUUAGUAGCAAAUUGGCAUAUUUAAUGUAUAUAAUGAAUAUUUUAUAUAUUAAUAUUAGGUUUUAUUUAAAAUGUUAAAUCAUAAUGGUAGAUUUUAAAAUAUUUAG